rnacentral:tRNA from 2 species
GGGCCGUUAGCUCAAUGGGUAGAGCAGCUGACUCUUAAUCAGGAGGUUCGGGGUUCGAGUCCCUGACGGCCCACCA